GAUGAACGCUGGCGGCGUGCCUAAUACAUGCAAGUCGAGCGAACAGACGAGGAGCUUGCUCCUCUGACGUUAGCGGCGGACGGGUGAGUAACACGUGGAUAACCUACCUAUAAGACUGGGAUAACUUCGGGAAACCGGAGCUAAUACCGGAUAAUAUAUUGAACCGCAUGGUUCAUUAGUGAAAGACGGUUUUGCUGUCACUUAUAGAUGGAUCCGCGCCGCAUUAGCUAGUUGGUAAGGUAACGGCUUACCAAGGCAACGAUGCGUAGCAGACCUGAGAGGGUGAUCGGCCACACUGGAACUGAGACACGGUCCAGACUCCUACGGGAGGCAGCAGUAGGGAAUCUUCCGCAAUGGGCGAAAGCCUGACGGAGCAACGCCGCGUGAGUGAUGAAGGUCUUCGGAUCGUAAAACUCUGUUAUUAGGGAAGAACAAAUGUGUAAGUAACUAUGCACGUCUUGACGGUACCUAAUCAGAAAGCCACGGCUAACUACGUG
rnacentral:rRNA from 1 species